GACGAACGCUGGCGGCGUGCCUAAUACAUGCAAGUAGAACGCUGAAGAGAGGAGCUUGCUCUUCUUGGAUGAGUUGCGAACGGGUGAGUAACGCGUAGGUAACCUGCCUUGUAGCGGGGGAUAACUAUUGGAAACGAUAGCUAAUACCGCAUAACAAUGGAUGACACAUGUCAUUUAUUUGAAAGGGGCAAUUGCUCCACUACAAGAUGGACCUGCGUUGUAUUAGCUAGUAGGUGAGGUAAUGGCUCACCUAGGCGACGAUACAUAGCCGACCUGAGAGGGUGAUCGGCCACACUGGGACUGAGACACGGCCCAGACUCCUACGGGAGGCAGCAGUAGGGAAUCUUCGGCAAUGGGGGCAAUCCUGACCGAGCAACGCCGCGUGAGUGAAGAAGGUUUUCGGAUCGUAAAGCUCUGUUGUAAGUCAAGAACGGGUGUGAGAGUGGAAAGUUCACACUGUGACGGUAGCUUACCAGAAAGGGACGGCUAACUACGUG
rnacentral:rRNA from 1 species